UUAAAUUAUUUAUUUUAACGUAAGUCUACAUGUAAGUUUAUGCAGAAUUUAAUUUCUUAAUGAAAUUAAAUUUGAUGAGUGCAGUGGAUUAUUUUAUUGAUAUUAAAGUAUUUUAGAUUUGGUAAAUGUUAAAAGAAUUGGUUAAAGUUGUGCCAGCAUCCGCGGUUAUACAGAGAAUUCAAAUAAAUAUUAUUAGUUUUUAAGUAAUUACUGUAUUAUAAUAUUAAAUAUGAAGUUUAAAUAUUUUAAGGUGAAAUUUAAAAUAUUUAAUAAAUAUAUUUAAUAGCAGGAUUAAUAUUACUAAAAUGAAAAUAUAAACUAGGAUUAGAUACCCUAUUAUUUUAAUUGUAAAUUUAAUUAAGCUGAAGUAUUAAUAGUUAAAUCUUUAAACUUAAAGAAUUUGGCGGUAUUAUAGUCUUUUUAGAGGAAUCUGUUAUGUAAUCGAUAAUCCACGUUGAAUCUUACUUAUAUUAUUUCUUGUAUACCGCUGUUUAUGAAUAUAUUAUAAGAUAAUUUUCUGAAUAUUAAAUUAAUUAAUAUUUCAAGUCAAGGUGCAGUAAUAUAUAAGUUGAAUAAUGGAUUACAAUAGAAUUUAUUUAAAACGGAGGAAUUAUUGAAAUGUAAUUUAAAGGUGGAUUUAAAUGUAAUAUUAUGAAGAUUGUUAUUAUGAUUUCUAGCUCUAUAAUAUGUACACAUCGCCCGUCAUUCUCGUUAUUAAGAUGAGACAAGUCGUAACAAAGUAGGUGUAUCGGAAGAUGUACCUAGUAAGGAGAUAUU
rnacentral:rRNA from 1 species